rnacentral:misc_RNA from 1 species
UUUCCGUAGGUGAACCUGCGGAAGGAUCAUUAAAGAGAAUAUGCCCUUCGGGGUAGAUCUCCCACCCUUUGUUUAUAUUACCUUUGUUGCUUUGGCAGGCCCGUCUUCGGACCACCGGCUUCGGCUGAUCAGUGCUUGCCAGAGGACCCAAAACUCUUAUUAUUAAUGUCGUCUGAGUACUAUAUAAUAGUUAAAACUUUCAACAACGGAUCUCUUGGUUCUG